UACGUAGGGUGCAAGCAUUGUCCGGAAUUAUUGGGCGUAAAGAGCUCGUAGGCGGUCUGUCGCGUCUGCUGUGAAACUCGGGGCUUAACCCCGGCCUGCAGUGGGUACGGGCAGACUAGAGUGCGGUAGGGGAGACUGGAAUUCCUGGUGUAGCGGUGAAAUGCGCAGAUAUCAGGAGGAACACCAGCGGCGAAGGCGGUGCUCUGGGCCGGAACUGACACUGAGGAGCGAAAGCGUGGUAGCAAACAGG
rnacentral:rRNA from 1 species